rnacentral:rRNA from 1 species
CGACAAGGGGAGUGGCAGACGGGUGAGUAACACGUGGGGAUCUGCCCAAUGGUACGGAAUAGCUCUGGGAAACUGGAAAUAAUACCGUAUGAGCCCGCAAGGGGAAAGAUUUAUCGCCAUUGGAUGAACCCGCGUCGGAUUAGCUAGUUGGUGUGGUAAAGGCGCACCAAGGCGACGAUCCGUAGCUGGUCUGAGAGGAUGAUCAGCCACACUGGGACUGAGACACGGCCCAGACUCCUACGGGAGGCAGCAGUGGGGAAUAUUGGACAAUGGGCGCAAGCCUGAUCCAGCCAUGCCGCGUGAGUGAUGAAGGCCUUAGGGUUGUAAAGCUCUUUCGCCGACGAAGAUAAUGACGGUAGUCGGAUAAGAAGCCCCGGCUAACUUCGUGC